AACGAACGCUGGCGGCAUGCCUAACACAUGCAAGUCGAACGAAGUCUUCGGACUUAGUGGCGCACGGGUGCGUAACGCGUGGGAAUCUGCCCUUGGGUGCGGAAUAACUUCUCGAAAGGGAUGCUAAUACCGCAUAAUGUCGUAAGACCAAAGAUUUAUCGCCCAAGGAUGAGCCCGCGUAAGAUUAGCUAGUUGGUGGGGUAAAAGCCUACCAAGGCGACGAUCUUUAGCUGGUCUGAGAGGAUGAUCAGCCACACUGGGACUGAGACACGGCCCAGACUCCUACGGGAGGCAGCAGUGGGGAAUAUUGGACAAUGGGCGAAAGCCUGAUCCAGCAAUGCCGCGUGAGUGAUGAAGGCCCUAGGGUUGUAAAGCUCUUUUACCCGAGAUGAUAAUGACAGUAGUCGGGAGAA
rnacentral:rRNA from 1 species